AUUCAUAUUUCUUUUGUGGCUAAAUUGUAAGCGUCCGUUGGCCUAAAAAUAAACACGUCCCACCAUCCUACUCUUUUACCACAGUGGUUCCCUUCCUCACUUCCAUUCACCAUCUUCUCUCCUUUCAGAAUUAAUUUAUUUUGUGGAUUUCUGCAAAAGUUGUUCCCUUCGUCUAAUUUGUCUGGUUUGAGCUCCCAGUUGUCAUGGUAAGGAAGGCUUCCUUGCAAGUGAGAAAUAAUACCAAGACUCCCCAAUGAAGAUUAUGUGGAAAAGGGGUUUUACUCGGUUCGUUCUUGUGGCUGCAAUUAUUUGGGAUUGAAGAUGUGACAUUAUUUUCUUUGAGAAAUCCUUCUGAGGUUCCUUCAUGUUCGAGUAUUUGUACAACUUCCUGGUAGAUGCUUCACAUUCUUAGUAUUGACAAAUUUUAAUAUGUUCAAUCUUUCCCAUUUUAAAGAGCGUCCUAUCGGAAGGUUUUUAAGUUGUUUGCCUGCAAUCAUUGAAGAAAUCUACUGCAAGUUAGAGGGACAUCCUAUGCUGCAGCGAAAGAAAUUGUUUGCAAAUAAUAUCUGGAUCUGUGUCAAAUCUCCUGAAGGUGGGUCACAAGUUGCACGCAAAUGGAUUGGCAUACUCCGUAAUACUUUUGGCUGACUCGGAAAACUCUCUGAGGUCCAUCAUUUUCGUUUGGUUUUCACGGGCAUUCUUUUGUAGGUGCCGCAUUACUUGGCUUAUGUGAUCUGCAUAAUGAGACUAUUAUUUGGAGGAAAAAGAAAGACGAAAAAAGGUUUAUUUACAUGUAGUUUCCUCUGUUACUCCAUUAUAUAAUCAACUUGGGAUUUGGCGUGGCUAUUUUCUAAGUAGGUGACUACUUGCUCUUAGCUGAGUUGUUUUCUUCUCAGAUAAUUAUUGUAAUUGCAUCUCAUGGGGUGUCCCUUGCCAUGUUUUGCAUUUAGUUGGGUAAUAGCAUUAGGAAGCCAAUCAGAAUCCAAAUAACUGGUGGUGCUUGUGAGCCGUAUUUUUCUUUGAUCAACUCUGAUUUUCACUUUUCGAAUUUACUUAAAUUCCUAUCA